rnacentral:rRNA from 1 species
UACGUAGGGUGCGAGCGUUAAUCGGAAUUACUGGGCGUAAAGCGUGCGCAGGCGGUUCGUUAAGUCAGCUGUGAAAGCCCCGGGCUCAACCUGGGAAUUGCGGUUGAAACUGGCGAACUAGAAUCUGGCAGAGGGGGGUGGAAUUCCACGUGUAGCAGUGAAAUGCGUAGAGAUGUGGAGGAACACCGAUGGCGAAGGCAGCCCCCUGGGUCAAGAUUGCGCUCAUGCACGAAAGCGUGGGGAGCAAACAG